UACAGAGGGUGCUAGCGUUGUUCGGAAUCAUUGGGCGUAAAGGGCGCGUAGGCGGCUUGAUAAGGUUGCGGUGAAAGCCCGGGGCUCAACCCCGGGUCGGCCGUGGCAACUGUCGAGCUGGAGCACUGUAGAGGCAGGUGGAAUUCCGGGUGUAGCGGUGGAAUGCGUAGAGAUCCGGAAGAACACCGGUGGCGAAGGCGGCCUGCUGGGCAGUGGCUGACGCUGAGGCGCGACAGCGUGGGGAGCAAACAGG
rnacentral:rRNA from 1 species